GAUGAACGCUGGCGGCGUGCCUAAUACAUGCAAGUCGAGCGAACAGAUAAGGAGCUUGCUCCUUUGACGUUAGCGGCGGACGGGUGAGUAACACGUGGGUAACCUACCUAUAAGACUGGAAUAACUCCGGGAAACCGGGGCUAAUGCCGGAUAACAUUUAGAACCGCAUGGUUCUAAAGUGAAAGAUGGUUUUGCUAUCACUUAUAGAUGGACCCGCGCCGUAUUAGCUAGUUGGUAAGGUAACGGCUUACCAAGGCAACGAUACGUAGCCGACCUGAGAGGGUGAUCGGCCACACUGGAACUGAGCCACGGUCCAGACUCCUACGGGAGGCAGCAGUAGGGAAUCUUCCGCAAUGGGCGAAAGCCUGACGGAGCAACGCCGCGUGAGUGAUGAAGGUCUUCGGAUCGUAAAACUCUGUUAUUAGGGAAGAACAAAUGUGUAAGUAACUGUGCACGUCUUGACGGUACCUAAUCAGAAAGCCACGGCUAACUACGUG
rnacentral:rRNA from 1 species